rnacentral:rRNA from 1 species
CCUCUUUUCUCAAGGAAGAAGUUCUGACGGUACUUGAGGAAUAAGCAUCGGCUAACUCUGUGCCAGCAGCCGCGGUAAUACAGAGGAUGCAAGCGUUAUCCGGAAUCACUGGGCAUAAAGCGUCUGUAGGUUGCUUAUCAAGUCUGCUGUUAAAGACCAGGGCCUAACCCUGGGAAAGCAGUGGAAACUAGUAGGCUUGAGUGUGGUAGAGGUAGAGGGAAUUCCUGGUGUAGCGGUGAAAUGCGUAGAUAUUAGGAAGAACACCAACGGCGAAAGCACUCUACUGGGCCAUAACUGACACUGAGAGACGACAGCUAGGGGAGCAAAUGGGAUUAGAUACCCCAGUAGUCCUAGCCGUAAACGAUGGAUACUAGGUGUUGCACGUAUUAACCCGUGCAGUAUCGUAGCU